UAUACUUGAAGAAAAAUAGACUUCCUUACUUAAGUCCUGAAAACUAAAACUCCUCGAAGUUCAUCUUCAAAUUUUUCUUAAAGUAUCAUAAUUAAUAUUCUCCCAAAAAUAAACAGUAGUCAACUAGAACUUCAGAUAGUAAAUAAACAAUCUUUUCUGAAAUUUCAUACAAUCUUCAUUCCAAUAAAAUUAACUCCUUCACAAAAUAUAAACUCAAUGCUUAAAUCCAUAAUAUAUAAACUCAAGUGUGUUGUAUGUUGUUCAUGGGACAAUUCAUGGAUAAUGCGGUAUUCUCAAGCUUUGAAUGUAAAAUAUGUGCUAUCGGGUCCCUUCUUUCUCUUGCAAGUUCAAUCUUAGGAUACUUGUAGAUGAGGGGUCAUCUCAUCUCACUAACAUGUUAGUUCAAUCCUUGGACACUAAUAUGUAAGUAUUAAACUUCCCUUUGUUGCUCAUUUCUUGUUUUCCUAACUUCGCGUUUGCGGGGAAUUGUUUAAUAACAUACAAAUAAACACAGAAGUCAUUUUUGCUUCACACCUGAUCGGGCGAGACGAUGUUUCUCGUCCGUAAAGUUUUUCGAUCCCAGGCCCAAUCAGGCGAGUUUCUUUUUCUUCUUUUUUUGUUUUUUGUCGCUAUCCUUCUCGAGCCCGAUCGAGCUUCCUCCGCCCGACCCGAUUGGGUUGCCUUCGCCCGACCCGAUCGGGUUGCCUCCCCCCGAUUGGGCGAGCCUCUUUUUGAGUGAGCUAUAGUUUCCGCGGUUUGUGUGACUUCUUUUUAUUCUUUUUAUAUAAAUACACUGCCUCAAAAACCGAGAUUUUAUUAUUCUAUUAUAAAAAACCCUAAACACAAACCUAUCCUAUUCUCUCUAAGAUUUGAGUAGUUCUUGAGAAGUACCAAUUUUUGAUCCGAGUGCACGGAGUCAGAGAUAGUUGUGUGAACCUUGGGGGACGAACGUCAUCGUUAAUCCGCACUGGUGGUGGCCAAAUUCGUUGAUAAGGAAGUGGCCAUCAUACUAUGACGCAACUCAUUCUUGUAAUUCAGGUUUAAGUUAUUUGAUUUCUGCAGAUUUACUAGUUACACUCGAUUCAACUAAAAAGUCACAAAUGUACAACUUAAAGCUCUUCAUUUAAUUCCUUUGAUAUAUCAUAAAAGAUGAUUCUUAAGCUAAAGCCUUAAAUUUUGUAUAUCUCUUCUUGGGUCGUCGUUGUCGCAUGAUUGUCGUCGACGGGUGUUAUCAGUCGUCGACACUGCAGCGGUUUUGUGUAGCUGUUGUUAUUCACGUCUACUCGCGCAGGUAUCAUUCGGAGUAUGUUGCUUCCAUGUCAAUUUGAUUUUUUCUCUCCUCUGUUGUAUCAUGAUGCUUGUGCUUUUCACCGGCUUUGUUUGCUGUUGCUCCUUGCUGGUGUUCCUGCGUCACCGCUGGUGGUGGUUGUGUUAGUUGUUGUCGUUGCAGUCGUUGUUGUUGUUGUUGUUGUUGUUGUUGCUGUUGCUGCUGCUACGUUAUUUUUGAUGUUCCCUCGAAUAUUUUAUUACUUUAUUUAAAAGAAAAUCAAUUCUGAUUUUGCAAGAUAUUGAUUGGUGAAGCUCAAAGAGAUUGAAGAAGCGUGGAGGUUCUCGGUUAUUGGAUUGGAGAUUAAGAAAUUGGAUUUCCUACAAGGUAUUGCUUCAGUGCCUACAAAUUCCUCUGCAAUUAUUGAGUGCAAGCCUUCUCCAACGUGAUACUCAUUCCUAGGAUUAAUCUCUUGCGGGUACGGGAGAACUUCUUCAUAGAACACUACAUCCCUUGAAACCAAAAGUCUCCAUUCUUCAUGCUAAACAUUCUCCAAUCCUUUUUUUUACCAUGCGGAUAUCCUAUGAAAAUGC